GACGAACGCUGGCGGCGUGCCUAAUACAUGCAAGUCGAACGAGAGCAACCGGUGCUUGCACUGGUCAAUCUAGUGGCGAACGGGUGAGUAACACGUGGGUAACCUGCCCAUCAGAGGGGGAUAACAUCCGGAAACGGAUGCUAAAACCGCAUAGGUCUUCGAACCGCAUGGUUUGAAGAGGAAAAGAGGCGCAAGCUUCUGCUGAUGGAUGGACCCGCGGUGCAUUAGCUAGUUGGUGAGGUAACGGCUCACCAAGGCCGUGAUGCAUAGCCGACCUGAGAGGAGGGCGAGACACCAGGGAAGUGAGACACGGUCGAGACGCCGACGGGAGGGAGCAGUGGGGAAUAGUGGAAAAUGGUCGGAAGACUGAUACAUCAAUACCGCGUGGGUGAAGAAGGUCUUCGGGUUGUAAAGCCCUUUUGUUGGGAAAGAAAAGCAGCAGGUUAAUACCCCGCGGGCCGGACGGUACCUAAAGAAGAAGCACCGGCUAACUUCGUG
rnacentral:rRNA from 1 species